CGGCGGCACCGGGCGGGCCGGGCCGGGGCGGCUCCGGUACCGGGGGCGGGCGCCGCUCUUUGACCCUCGGGUUGGUCGGGGAGCCCGGUUUUGUCGGGAAAGCCGGAUCCGCGCCGGGAUGCGGACAAAGACACGGAGCAGCUGUUCGGGAAUAAAGCUGAAAUAGUAGAACCUGGGAGAGAAGUUAGCUUGGGGGAGCUAUUAUUUUCGCCGCAAAACCCUCGGGAGGUAUUAAACAGCUGCAUCCAAACGACGGAGCGACCCAAAGGCCGGGAUCCCACCGCCUCGCCGUCGAGCAGCGGGCGCGUGGCUCAGCGCACGGCCGCAGGUUCCUCUGCAAAGAGCAGCGUAGCAGAGCGGUUGGGAGAGCUGUGCUGGACAGAGGACGGCCGGCCGCGAGCGGAGCCUCCCACCGGCGAGCAUUGCCAGGCGAGGAGAGAAAACCUGGGCAGCCUUAAAACACUCAGAGUGUAAUGUGACGCUUCCAAACCUUUGCAGCCUGCGCACACACGCAGUCUUCCUCAGGGGUCCCCAAAAGGAGUUGUGCCACUCCCUGAGCAUCCCCCAGCCCAGCAUGGUGUUGGGAUGCAGGCAGAAGCCUCGGUGGGUGCAGGGCUGUGCCAGGAGCAGCCACCGUUUCUACUGCAGAUGUGAACAGGGGGUGCCCAGCUGGGUGGAAGGGCGAAAGUCUGCUCGAGGAGCCUGAAGACGCACCAUCCCCACUUAUCGCCCCAGAGGCAGGCUAUCUAGCUGACAAGCUGUGCGGUGAAAAACCAGGUGCCCAUGUGCCUGCUGCUCACCCAAGGCCUGAAAGGGAUCAGCUGCUCAUUUUGCAGAGCAAAGUAAGAUGGCAACAAGGAGUGCUUUCCUGGUGCCAGAUUUCAUCUGAAAUUGGUCCUAUGCUGAACAAGUUGGGGCCACUGAGAAGCAGAAAGUGGAUGAAGCAAGAUCCUAAAAGGGAAAGACCAAUGUUUUAUUUACUACAAUAAACCCUAAACCCAGGUUUAUCACUAACUAGUCGUAUUUUCUGUUUGUGUUUGUCUUUGUGGUUUGACAUUUGCUCAUGCUGUGAUAGCUUCAUCAAAAUACAUUUUUUAGAAAAAGCA
ensembl:lncRNA